GCGGCGCGCUUAAUGCAUGUAAGUCGAGCGAUGAAGCCCUUCGGGGCUAUCAGCGGCAGACGGGUGGGUAACACGUGGAUGACCUGCCCUCAAGUCUGGGAUAACGGGUGGAAACAUGCGCUAAUACCGGAUAGACUGUUGGGGUCGCAACCAGCAGUAAAGCUACGGCGCUUGAGGAGGAGUCCGCGGCCCAUCAGCUAGGCGGUAGGGUAACGGCCUACCAAGCGCGAAGACGGGUAGGGGGUGUGAGAGCAUGGCCCCCCACAAUGGGAAUGAGAGACGGCCCAUACUCCUACGGGAGGCAGCAGCAGGGAAUAUUGCACAAUGGACGGAAGUCUGAUGCAGCGACGCCGCGUGGAUGAUGAAGGCCUUCGGGUUGUAAAAUCCUUUUCGGGGGGAAGAGGAAGGACGGUACCCCCGGAAUAAGCGUCGGCUAACUACGUGCCAGCAGCCGCGGUAAUACGUAGGACGCGAGCGUUAUCCGGAUUUACUGGGCGUAAAGCGUCUGUAGGCGGAGGCGUAAGUUGGGCGUGAAAGCUCCGGGCUUAACCCGGAGAGGCCGUUCAAUACUGCGCAACUAGAGGGCGUGAGAGGGGAGCGGAAUUCCCGGUGUAGCGGUAAAAUGCGCAGAUGUCGGGAGGAACACCAGUGGCGCAGGCGGCUCCCUGGUACGCACCUGACGCUGAGAGACGAAAGCUAGGGGAGCAAACAGGA
rnacentral:rRNA from 1 species